UGGUCUGUAGCCAAGCGGUAAGGCACAUGGUUUUGGUCCAUGUAUGCGUAGGUUCGAUUCCUUCCAGACCAGCCA
rnacentral:tRNA from 1 species